AUCCACAGCAGAGCACUGGACCGCAACGACCUCAACGCACUGGAGUGUGGCAUCCCUAAGCACUUUGGGCUGUUCUACGCCAUGGGCACAGCUCUGAUGAUGGAGGGGCUGCUGAGUGCCUGCUACCACGUCUGCCCCAACUACACCAACUUCCAGUUCGACACCUCCUUCAUGUAUAUGAUCGCUGGGCUGUGUGUGUUAAAGCUGUACCAGAAAGACA